rnacentral:lncRNA from 1 species
GGGGUGGGGAGGCGGCGAGGAAAAGUAAAGUGACAGCUGGGUCCCGCGCGCAGACCGGGCUCUGACGGGCGGGCACGCGCAUUAAAGGGAAACGCCGGCUGGGGGUUAGGGGUUACCCCAAGACGGUGCAGGCAGUGGGACGAGGAGGCCUUUUACCCCCAUCCAUCGCAGCCCUUGACUUCACGCUCGCCUCGAAGCUUUCGCAACGCAGACGCGUGGGGCCCGCAUGUACCCAAGACAGGAAAACUUCACGUUGGCCUGGAAAGUUCUUCCAGGCUAAACCUGACUCUUCACCAGACACUGCAGCACGAAGGCCCUUCUGCCUUUUGGCUCGCCCUGGCCCAGAAUGCGCACCAGCCGGUAGAGAGGAGCUUCGGGCCGUUUAGCCCUGGGGGCAAGAGAAAGAGGCCCACUGCAAUAUGCUGUGAAGAAUACAUAAGAAGUCAAACUGUUGACCUCUUUUCCCCCAGCCCGUUCCAAAACUACAUCCCUGAGGAGUUGUGCACCUCUAGGGAAAGUUCAGAUGAAAGAGCUAAUUCCCCUUGAUCUCUCUUCUUGUUCAGAGUGGAGGAAAAACAUAUACCAUCCCUUCCAUCAUUCCUCAGCAUAACUUUGCCAGGGACACUGGUAACAAGCUACUUUUACCUCAGAAGUUGGAGAGUAUCACUUGACCCACAUUGUGUAUGUGUAAAUAUCUUUAUUCAGUGUAUAUACAAUAUAUUCUUAAUUUGACUCUCAA